ACGACAAAUUGCCACAUGAGUUUUGCAGAUACUAGAGACAGGAAGGAAAUAAAAGUUUGGAGAAAGGAGGAGAAAAGAUCUCUUGUUGUUGAAAAAGAUUUACAUGCAACAAGAGAAAACCUUUGGAUAGUAGAUAGUGGUUGUUCGAACCAUAUGACAGAUAAAGAAUUGGAUAUCAUUGAAAUGGCUGUCUAUGGAAAUGUGAUUCGACCAGGACUUCAAUGUCGCUGCAAAACUGUUGCUGAAAUGCUUGAUAAGUACAAAUCAAAAAGCACACAGAUUGCAUGUGAGUUGCCAUAUAAGGAAAAAACCUGAAUGCAUUGUUUCAACUAGGAUUGGAAUCAAGGGGAUGGUUGAGCUUUGAUGAAUAUGUUAUACGGAGUACUGUCCACAGCUUUCUAAAUCUUUUCCCAUAGACACAAUUACUUAUCAGCUUCCUUAUUUUAGGCGAGAGUACUGUUCAUGUGACUGAUUGUAUCUCUCUCUAUAAUGUUAUUAAAUGUUGUGAAUUUGUUGAUUCUUUCUGUUUUGUGUAAGUCCUUAAUGGACAAUUUUCCCUCUAAAUGAUGAGAACAAUUCUUAAGGAAGCAUGUUAUUUUUGAAAAUAAACUUCAACACAUUAGCGGCAGUCAAAUAUAUGAUGAUUGUUGAUUUAUUAUAUAUUGCUUUUAUCUUGAAUAAAAUGAAUUGUACUAGUUUCCACAA